rnacentral:rRNA from 1 species
AUUGAACGCUGGCGGCAGGCCUAACACAUGCAAGUCGAACGAGUGGCGGACGGGUGAGUAAUGUCUGGGAAACUGCCUGUUGGAGGGGGAUAACUACUGGAAACGGUAGCUAAAACCGCAUACCAUCGGAUGUGCCCAGAUGGGAUUAGCUAGUAGGUGGGGUAAAGGCUCACCUAGGCGACGAUCCCUAGCUGGUAUGGGCGGAUGACCAGCCACACUGGAACGAGGACACGGUCCGGACUCCUACGGGGGGCAGCAGUGGGGAAUAUUGCACAAUGGGCGCAAGCCUGGUGCAGCCAUGCCGCGUGUAUGAAGAAGGCCUUCAGGUUGUAAAGUACUUUCAGCGGGGAGGCGUUACCCGCAGAAGAAGCACCGGCUAACUCCGUGCCAGCAGCCGCGGUAAUAC